rnacentral:rRNA from 1 species
UACGUAGGGGGCAAGCGUUGUCCGGAAUUACUGGGCGUAAAGCGCAUGUAGGCGGUUCGUAAAGUCAGAUGUGAAAGCCCUGGGCUUAACCCAGGAAGUGCAUUUGAAACUCACGAACUUGAGUCCCGGAGAGGUAAGUGGAAUUCCGAGUGUAGAGGUGAAAUUCGUAGAUAUUCGGAAGAACACCAGUGGCGAAGGCGACUUACUGGACGAUUGUUGACGCUGAGGUGCGAAAGCGUGGGGAGCAAACAGG